AAACAGAGAUUAUGCAGAUAUAUUAUGCAGAUAUUCUUUUUGGCCAUGUUUUAUGGGAAAUCACUCAAAACUUCCUCUGUAGUACCUAGUCUGCAUUCUGUCAAACCAAGACAUAUUUUUCCACAUUCUUAAUGUGGAAAUAUUCUUAAUUCUACCAGUUUUACAAUACCGAGAUAUUCCUGUUGAUCAAGUUUCUUCCUCCAUUUCCCUGCAGGAAUCAAGCUGUGGAGAAUUGCUGUUAAGUCUCCCACUAAUCUUGUUGUUUGCCACGUUUGCAAUGACUGAGAUACUGCUCUUCCAUACCUAACGUUAGAUCCUCAUUUUCCCCGUUCUUGUUCUUUCUCUCUCUUUCAGCUCUUCCUUGCAUCGUGCCAACUUGUUCCCGUUUGCAGCACACAGGCAUCAAAUACAGGAUUAAAGUCUUAAGUCUCUGGAUAUUUCUCACAGCUGAAGAAGCCAGGGCUCUUCUCUGGACAUGUGGAAUGACAAAUAUUCACAGAUCUGCAGGCUUUCCUGAAGGUGGCUCCAUUUGAUAAAGGUUAAAUUAGACAAUGCAGGAUCAGAUCAACCCCAAAUUCUCAUUAGAGUAAUUGGUCAGAGGAGGAAAAAUCAGAAA
rnacentral:lncRNA from 1 species